GGUCAAGUUAUUAAGGGUGCAGGGCGGAUGCCUUGGCACUAGGAGCCGAUGAAGGACGUGAUAAGCUGCGAUAAGCUUCGGGGAGUUGCACGUAAACUUUGAUCCGAAGAUUUCCGAAUGAGGAAACUCACUUAGAGUAAUGUCUAAGUAUCAUUAAGUGAAUACAUAGCUUAAUGAGGGGAACUCAGGGAACUGAAACAUCUAAGUACCUGAAGGAAGAGAAAGAAAUUCGAUUCCGUAAGUAGCGGCGAGCGAACGCGGAUUAGCCCAAACCAAUAAAGUUUUCUUUAUUGGGGUUGCGGACAUAUCAUAACGAAGAGGUAUCGUAAUUGAAGAGGUUUGGAAAGACCCACCACAGAAGGUAAUAGUCCUGUAUGUUAAACGAGAAGACUUUAGAUAUGAUCCAGAGUACCACGGGAC
rnacentral:rRNA from 1 species